rnacentral:rRNA from 1 species
UACGUAGGGGGCUAGCGUUGUCCGGAAUCAUUGGGCGUAAAGCGCGUGUAGGCGGUCCGGUAAGUCCGCUGUGAAAGCCAGGGGCUCAACCCUUGGAUGCCGGUGGAUACUGUCGGGCUUGAGUACGGAAGAGGCGAGUGGAAUUCCUGGUGUAGCGGUGAAAUGCGCAGAUAUCAGGAGGAACACCAAUUGCGAAGGCAGCUCGCUGGGACGUUACUGACGCUGAGACGCGAAAGCGUGGGGAGCAAAC